rnacentral:lncRNA from 1 species
UCGGUCGUAAAGAUGCUGUUUCUCUUCACGUUUCUCAAAUGGACUUGGCUUCGGAAAUCACUUCUGCAACACAAACCAGCAGCCUGUGCAGCUCUGGGCGGGGGCAUGCCGGCUACCCAGCUCCCGGCAUUGUUGCACAUGGCUUUGAAACGCACGGCACAGCUCGUGUGGCCCAGGGGCACCUCCUGCCACCCUGCCUGCUGCCUCCACCCCAGAUGCCGGUCCUCGCUGCUCUCCGGGACCUCUCCCGGCGUGGCUCCACCUCCUCCUCGAGGUCACCGUCCAGGCCUGUUUCAACUAGCGCCUCCAAGCCUUGCUUACCUGCCUCCUGUUUGGGUGAAACUUGGAGCAUCUCUAUUAACUUAGUUGGUAGCUCCGGUCACCUGCAGUCACCAGGGGCCCAGAGGGACGCACAGAGGGAGACCGGCUGCCUGGGUCCCUCCUGGCUGCCUCACCAUCAGGGGCGGGAUGAGGAGCUCAGCCUCAGCCACAGUGCGCAAGGUGAAGAGUUUUGAUCCCUCGUACAUCCUCGAGCCAGGCAGGGCGCCCGGCUUCUAUCCCAGGUAGCAGAGUCUCCUAUCCCAGGUCUCCGACGGCGACCGCAACCCUUUGCCCGUGGAGGACUUCCCCUGUCUAAGGGCCAUUGGGAGUGGGAUGGCCUAAUUUCUGGGGUCGCUUUCUAUUGGGCACUUC